UCAUUUUCCGGCCACUAGAGGAAUAGGAAUCACCAGUGCUGAUCCAUGAACGCAUUCAAGAAAAAAAUACGAAGUCUGGGUGAAAAGAUCAGGCUUUCAGAGAGCUGUAGUCCCUGGAAGCACCAGCUGGGGGAGCACUUUUCAAAGCACCACCAUUGCCGGGGGGGCUCUGUGCUGUGCAGUCACGCUCGCUGCCGCGCGGCGCCGAUACCUCUCUCUUGCUGGCGGUAUGAUGAGUGCAGUGGACAGUGAACUCCCAACGUGCGAGAGCGACGGCGAGCAGCUCAGCUCUCCAGCAUGUGCCUCGGCUUUCGGCAAAUGGCUCUCUCCCAGACGCUAGAGAAGAUUCCCAGUUAAAACGAGCGAACCACAGGCAACAUAUCGGCAUCAUGGCUUUAAGGUGGGUGAGAAGAUGUAGCUGAAUACCUGAGGAGGUGGAACGGGAUCCUGACACCUCGGAGCCUCUGGUUCUCCCCGUGGAGGAGGGAGAGGGAG